UACGUAGGUCCCGAGCGUUGUCCGGAAUUACUGGGUGUAAAGGGUGCGCAGGCGGUCUUGUGCGUCAGAAGUGAAAUAUCACGGCUCAACCGUGAGGGUGCUUUUGAUACGGCAAGACUUGAGUACGGGAGAGGAUGAUGGAAUUCCUGGUGUAGCAGUGAAAUGCGUAGAUAUCAGGAGGAACACCGGUGGCGAAGGCGGUCAUCUGGCCCGGUACUGACGCUCAGGCACGAAAGUGUGGGUAGCAAACAGG
rnacentral:rRNA from 1 species